rnacentral:rRNA from 1 species
GAUGAACGCUGGCGGCGUGCUUAACACAUGCAAGUCGAACGAUGAAGCUCAGCUUGCUGGGUGGAUUAGUGGCGAACGGGUGAGUAACACGUGAGUAACCUGCCCUUAACUCUGGGAUAAGCCUGGGAAACUAGGUCUAAUACCGGAUAGGAGCGCCUACCGCAUGGUGGGUGUUGGAAAGAUUUAUCGGUUUUGGAUGGACUCGCGGCCUAUCAGCUUGUUGGUGAGGUAAUGGCUCACCAAGGCGACGACGGGUAGCCGGCCUGAGAGGGUGACCGGCCACAGGGGGAAGGAAAAACGCCCCAGACCACGAGGGGGGGAAGAAGGGGGGAAUAUGCAAAAGGGGGAAAAGGCUGGAGGCGGCGAGGCGGGGGGAGGGAGAACGGCCUGGGGGUGGAAACCCUUUUUAAGGGGGAAAGAAGAAAAAGGGACGGUACCUGAAAAAGAAGAACGGGAAAACUACGUG